GCCUGGGCCGACUUCUUCUUGUAUUUUCAAGGAUAAAGGAAGUGAGUCGAGAGGAAAAAAAGCAAUUGAAUCAGCCGUCAUCCUUCCUUUCGCCAUUUAGUUCCUUAGCUUCGUUGUAUGGGAUGACCGGACUAGAAGAAAGUGCUGACCUACCAAAGGCAAAGAGUUGGGUUCUCUACCACACCAUGCAACCUAGCCAAAGUGGAUAAUCUCUUGACACCAUAAGUGUUCAACAGGGACAACGCACGUGGCAGGUGAUGGGAGUAGGUUCUUAAUCGUAAUGAAGAAUGCAGUUUAAAGAAACGGAGCUUGUUUGAACAUCAAGUGAUGCUUCCUACAGGAAGAUACAUAUCAUAGCCGAAUGGAUGUGAUAUUCUGGUGGGACAGUAUAUGACUACUAUAUACUGUACUUUGCUAGAGAGCGAACGACCCCAAUACCCGCCCAGUUGAGCAGUUCUUAUGCAGGCCACGACAUCCUCGGUUGUAUAUAUAUAUAUAUAUAACAGAAGUUUUUCGUGGUCAUUGAGUGUCUAUUCUUCAUUCUUUUUGGCUGUGAUCUAAAGCAGGGAGGAAUUGUGUUGCAGAGAUUUUAUUUUCUUUAUAUCUUUCUAUUUGAUAAAUUAGUUUUCCAUUGUUCCGUGAUUUGCUUCUAAUUAUCUUCUGUUUCUUUCAUAUUGUAUAUUGAAUUUCAUGCAUUGUUUUGGUCCUAUCCUGGAAAUGGAGCAUUUAGUUAUUUUUCAGCUCCCCCAACUCUUUUCUUCUUCCCUAAUGAAUUUGAGUGGCCUUUUGUCUAAAAGACUUCUCUGUUUCUGAAUUGUGCAGAUUUGUAUCUCAUUAAGUGUUGGCCUUCAUUUUUUGCCUUAUCCAUGGAGGGGAAGGGAGAAGAGUUGAACUUGUGAUGAAUUAUGUUAUGCAGCAGGCAAUAAACAUUUUCAAGUGGAAUUUUAUGGUAUAAUUGGACAAAAGUAGCAGGCUUCUCAAAUCAUGUCUUUUUUCAGUGUUGAUUGGUGAAGGAGACUGGAUUUUGGAUUGGUACCAGUAGCUAUUGAUGAGAUUGGAUUCUGACCAUCUUAAGGUUGGGUCAGUGGAACAAUAUCCUGGGCUCCUUGGGAUGGUCGCAUCAAGUUGUGUUUCAAAGAAAGGAAAAUAAUCCCCAUCUUCUGAUAAGUCGAGCAUGGAUGCAUCUUGAAUGAACAGAAAAAUAGUGGCAGCUCAAGUAGGAAUGCUUGGAGGUGGGAAAGGAAAUUCAAGAUUUAUGUUAUAAGUGGCUGUGCGGAUGGAGAGGAAGUUCUGGAUUGGUUUGAAUAGAUUCAAACAUCCACAUGCAAUGGGCAAUGGCGCCUGCUAAAGCCUAUCCUUACAAAGGCACAUUUUUUGGGGCUCUUGUUGUUGUGGCAUAGCACAACGUAGCAGCUAGCAUGGAGAUUUUGGAUAUCAUUCUGGAAAUGGAUUUGGAAAACCUCCAUCUGAAGCAUUCUUAUUUUUGGUUGCAUCCCCUAGAAAUUCAGGCGACAUAUCCUCUGUAUUUUUUUUUCCAAUGCAUUUGACAGGAAGCUAAGCUGGUUGAACAUCAGCUAGUCAUUGUAAAUAUAUGGAUGGUGAAUGUAUUCAGGGAGGGAAUGGGUCCUCCACUAAACUAGAUGAGAUCAGUCCUUUUCUAUUGAUUCAGUUGAAUGGAACAUUCAGAUUUUUUCACGUUAA